rnacentral:tRNA from 3 species
GGCACUGUAGCCAAGUGGUUACGGCGUCACGUUUAGGUCAAGUGCCAAUCCGUGAUGGGAAACCUCGCGAGUUCGAAUCUCGUCAGUGUCA